rnacentral:rRNA from 1 species
AUACGUAGGGUGCAAGCGUUAAUCGGAAUUACUGGGCGUAAAGCGUGCGUAGGUGGUUGUUUAAGUCUGUCGUGAAAGCCCUGGGCUCAACCUGGGAAUGGCGAUGGAAACUGGGCGACUAGAGUGUGGCAGAGGGUAGUGGAAUUCCUGGUGUAGCAGUGAAAUGCGUAGAGAUCAGGAGGAACAUCCGUGGCGAAGGCGACUGCCUGGGCCAACACUGACACUGAGGCACGAAAGCGUGGGGAGCAAACAGGAUUAGAUACCCUGGUAGUCCACGCCCUAAACGAUGCGAACUGGAUGUUGGGUGCAAUUUGGCACGCAGUAUCGAAGCUAACGCGUUAAGUUCGCCGCCUGGGGAGUACGGUCGCAAGACUGAAACUCAAAUGAAUUGGCGGGG